AGGACGAACGCUGGCGGCGUGCCUAAUACAUGCAAGUCGAACGGUCUUUCUAUGGAAGCUUGCUUCCACUGAGAAGAUAGUGGCGAACGGGUGAGUAACACGUGGGUAACCUGCCCAUAAGAGGGGGAUAACAUCCGGAAACGGGUGCUAAUACCGCAUAGUUUUCUUGAUCGCAUGAUCGGGAAAGGAAAGACGGCCUUUGUGCUGUCGCUUAUGGAUGGACCCGCGGCGUAUUAGUUAGUUGGUGAGGUAACGGCUCACCAAGACGAUGAUACGUAGUCGACCUGAGAGGGUGAUCGGCCACAUUGGGACUGAGACACGGCCCAAACUCCUACGGGAGGCAGCAGUAGGGAAUCUUCCGCAAUGGACGAAAGUCUGACGGAGCAACGCCGCGUGAGUGAAGAAAGGUUUUCGGAUCGUAAAACUCUGUUGUCAGAGAAGAACAAGUUGGAGAGUAACUGCUCCAGCCUUGACGGUAUCUGACCAGAAAGCCACGGCUAACUACGUGCCAGCCGCCGC
rnacentral:rRNA from 1 species